rnacentral:rRNA from 1 species
CUGUGAGCUCGAUGAGUAGGGCGGGACACGUGGUAUCCUGUCUGAAUAUGGGGGGACCAUCCUCCAAGGCUAAAUACUCCUGACUGACCGAUAGUGAACCAGUACCGUGAGGGAAAGGCGAAAAGAACCCCGGCGAGGGGAGUGAAAAAGAACCUGAAACCGUGUACGUACAAGCAGUGGGAGCACAGAGCAAUCUGUGUGACUGCGUACCUUUUGUAUAAUGGGUCAGCGACUUAUAUUCUGUAGCAAGGUUAACCGAAUAGGGGAGCCGAAGGGAAACCGAGUCUUAACUGGGCGUUAAGUUGCAGGGUAUAGACCCGAAACCCGGUGAUCUAGCCAUGGGCAGGUUGAAGGUUGGGUAACACUAACUGGAGGACCGAACCGACUAAUGUUGAAAAAUUAGCGGAUGACUUGUGGCUGGGGGUGAAAGGCCAAUCAAACCGGGAGAUAGCUGGUUCUCCCCGAAAGCUAUUUAGGUAGCGCCUCGUGAAUUCAUCUCCGGGGGUAGAGCACUGUUUCGGCAAGGGGGUCAUCCCGACUUACCAACCCGAUGCAAACUGCGAAUACCGGAGAAUGUUAUCACGGGAGACACACGGCGGGUGCUAACGUCCGUCGUGAAGAGGGAAACAACCCAGACCGCCAGCUAAGGUCCCAAAGUCAUGGUUAAGUGGGAAACGAUGUGGGAAGGCCCAGACAGCCAGGAUGUUGGCUUAGAAGCAGCCAUCAUUUAAAGAAAGCGUAAUAGCUCACUGGUCGAGUCGGCCUGCGCGGAAGAUGUAACGGGGCUAAACCAUGCACCGAAGCUGCGGCAGCGACGCUUAUGCGUUGUUGGGUAGGGGAGCGUUCUGUAAGCCUGCGAAGGUGUGCUGUGAGGCAUGCUGGAGGUAUCAGAAGUGCGAAUGCUGACAUAAGUAACGAUAAAGCGGGUGAAAAGCCCGCUCGCCGGAAGACCAAGGGUUCCUGUCCAACGUUAAUCGGGGCAGGGUGAGUCGACCCCUAAGGCGAGGCCGAAAGGCGUAGUCGAUGGGAAACAGGUUAAUAUUCCUGUACUUGGUGUUACUGCGAAGGGGGGACGGAGAAGGCUAUGUUGGCCGGGCGACGGUUGUCCCGGUUUAAGCGUGUAGGCUGGUUUUCCAGGCAAAUCCGGAAAA